UGAGUACGAGAUGCUACGGCAUCGAAGCAGUCUAUGUCAUACUUCCAAGAAAAGCUUGCACUGUCAUAAACAAAGAAUGCCUGUACCAUAACCGACACAGGUGGGUAGGUAGAGUAUACUAAGGGGCGCGAGAUAACUCUCUCUAAGGAACUCGGCAAAAUGACUCCGUAACUUCGGGAGAAGGAGUGCCUUAUUUCUAAGGUUGCAAUAACAAGAUCCAAGCAACUGUUUACCAAAAACACAGGUCUCCGCUAAGUCGUAAGACGAUGUAUGGGGGCUGACGCCUGCCCAGUGCUAGAAGGUUAAAGAAGUUGGUUAGCAUUAGCGAAGCUGAUAACUGAAGCCCUGGUGAACGGCGGCCGUAACAAUAACGGUCCUAAGGUAGCGAAAUUCCUUGUCGGGUAAGUUCCGACCCGCACGAAAGGCGUAAUGAUUUGGAUACUGUCUCGGAGAGGGGCUCGGUGAAAUAGACUUGUCUGUGAAGAUGCGGACUACCUGCACCUGGACAGAAAGACCCUAUGAAGCUUUACUGUAACUUGAGAUUGAAAUUGGACUUUAUUUGCGCAGUAUAGGUGGGAGGCGUUGAGAAUAAUCUUGCGGGAUUGUUGGAGCCAUCAGUGAGAUACCACUCUUGUAAUGUUAGAUUUCUAACUUUGUAUCAUUAUCUGGUCAAAGAACAGUUUCAGGCGGGCAGUUUGACUGGGGCGGUCGCCUCCCAAAGGGUAACGGAGGCGCUCAAAGGUUUCCUCUGAACGGGUAGAAAUCGUAUCUAGAGUGUAAAGGCAUAAGGAAGCUUGACUGUGAGACCUACAAGUCGAGCAGGGACGAAAGUCGGUCUUAGUGAUCUGACGGUGCUGAGUGGAAAGGCCGUCACUCAACGGAUAAAAGUUACUCUAGGAUAACAGGCUGAUCUCCCCCAAGAGUUCACAUCGACGGGGAGGUUUGGCACCUCGAUGUCGGCUCAUCGCAUCCUGGGGCGGUAGUCCGUCCCAAGGGUUGGGCUGUUCGCCCAUGAAAGCGGUACGCGAGCUGGGUUCAGAACGUCGUGAGACAGUUCGGUCCAUAUCCGGUGUAGGCGUUAGAAUAUUGAGAGGAGCCUUCUCUAGUACGAGAGGACCGAGAAGGACAUACCUCUGGUGUACCAGUUAUCGUGCCAACGGUAAACGCUGGGUAGCUAUGUAUGGAGUGGAUAACCGCUGAAAGCAUCUAAGUGGGAAGCCCACCUCAAGAUAAGUAUUCUC
rnacentral:rRNA from 1 species